rnacentral:rRNA from 1 species
UGGGGAAUUUUGGACAAUGGGGGAAACCCUGAUCCAGCCAUCCCGCGUGUGCGAUGAAGGCCUUCGGGUUGUAAAGCACUUUUGGCAGGAAAGAAACGUCAUGGGUUAAUACCCCGUGAAACUGACGGUACCUGCAGAAUAAGCACCGGCUAACUACGUGCCAGCAGCCGCGGUAAUACGUAGGGUGCAAGCGUUAAUCGGAAUUACUGGGCGUAAAGCGUGCGCAGGCGGUUCGGAAAGAAAGAUGUGAAAUCCCAGGGCUCAACUUUGGAACUGCAUUUUUAACUACCGGGCUAGAGUGUGUCAGAGGGAGGUGGAAUUCCGCGUGUAGCAGGGAAAUGCGGAGAUAUGCGGAGGAACACCGAUGGCGAAGGCAGCCUCCUGGGAUAACACUGACGCUCAUGCACGAAAGCGUGGGGAGCAAACAGG